AUUGAACGCUGGCGGCAUGCCUUACACAUGCAAGUCGAACGGUAACGGGCCUUCGGGUGCCGACGAGUGGCGAACGGGUGAGUAAUACAUCGGAACGUGCCCGAUCGUGGGGGAUAACGAGGCGAAAGCUUUGCUAAUACCGCAUACGAUCUACGGAUGAAAGCAGGGGACCGCAAGGCCUUGCGCGGACGGAGCGGCCGAUGGCAGAUUAGGUAGUUGGUGGGAUAAAAGCUUACCAAGCCGACGAGCUGUAGCUGGUCUGAGAGGAUGAUCAGCCACACUGGAACUGAGACACGGCCCAGACUCCUACGGGAGGCAGCAGUGGGGAAUUUUGGACAAUGGGCGCAAGCCUGAUCCAGCCAUGCCGCGUGCAGGAUGAAGGCCUUCGGGUUGUAAACUGCUUUUGUACGGAACGAAAAGCCUUCUUUUAAUACAGGGGGGUCAUGACGGUACCGGAAGAAUAAGCACCGGCUAACUACGUG
rnacentral:rRNA from 1 species